GUCGUUGUAGAUGACGACGUUGAUAGGCUAUAGGUGUAAAGACAGUAAUGUCAUAGCCAAGUAGUACUAAUUACCCGUAGAUUUAUAGCCU
rnacentral:rRNA from 1 species